rnacentral:rRNA from 1 species
UACGUAGGGGGCUAGCGUUGUCCGGAUUUAUUGGGCGUAAAGAGCGUGUAGGCGGCCAGGUAGGUCUGCUGUGAAAACUCGAGGCUCAACCUCGAGACGUCGGCGGAAACCAUCUGGCUAGAGUCCGGAAGAGGAGAGUGGAAUUCCUGGUGUAGCGGUGAAAUGCGCAGAUAUCAGGAGGAACACCGGUGGCGAAGGCGGGGGUCUCUGGGGGCCGAUACUGACGCUGAGGAGCGAAAGCGUGGGGGGAGCGAACAGGA